GUGAGUAACGCGUGGGAACGUACCCUUCACUACGGAAUAGCUUCUGGAAACGGAAGGUAAUACCGUAUACGCCCUCCGGGGGAAAGAUUUAUCGGUGAAGGAUCGGCCCGCGUUAGAUUAGUUUGUUGGUGGGGUAAUGGCCUACCAAGACUACGAUCUAUAGCUGGUCUGAGAGGAUGAUCAGCCACACUGGGACUGAGACACGGCCCAGACUCCUACGGGAGGCAGCAGUGGGGAAUCUUGCACAAUGGGCGAAAGCCUGAUGCAGCCAUGCCGCGUGAAUGAUGAAGGCCUUAGGGUUGUAAAAUUCUUUCGCCAGGGAUGAUAAUGACAGUACCUGGUAAAGAAGCCCCGGCUAACUUCGUGCCAGCAGCCGCGGUAAUACGAAGGGGGCUAGCGUUGUUCGGAAUUACUGGGCGUAAAGCGCGCGUAGGCGGGCUAUUAAGCCAGAUGUGAAAGCCCGGAGCUCAACUCCGGAAUUGCAUUUGGAACUGGUAGCCUAGAGACCAGGAGAGGUUAGCGGAAUACCGAGUGUAGAGGUGAAAUUCGUAGAUAUUCGGUGGAACACCAGUGGCGAAGGCGGCUAACUGGACUGGUACUGACGCUGAGGCGCGAAAGUGUGGGGAGCAAACAGGAUUAGAUACCCUGGUAGUCCACACCG
rnacentral:rRNA from 1 species